GGGAAACAGGUUAAUAUUCCUGUACUUGGUGUUACUGCGAAGGGGGGACGGAGAAGGCUAUGUUGGCCGGGCGACGGUUGUCCCGGUUUAAGCGUGUAGGCUGGUUUUCCAGGCAAAUCCGGAAAAUCAAGGCUGAGGCGUGAUGACGAGGCACUACGGUGCUGAAGCAACAAAUGCCCUGCUUCCAGGAAAAGCCUCUAAGCAUCAGGUAACAUCAAAUCGUACCCCAAACCGACACAGGUGGUCAGGUAGAGAAUACCAAGGCGCUUGAGAGAACUCGGGUGAAGGAACUAGGCAAAAUGGUGCCGUAACUUCGGGAGAA
rnacentral:rRNA from 1 species